UGCGAUUGCACUGCAGACAUCAAGAAGCAGGUGGCUAUUUCCACACAUUGAGAUCUAUAAUUCGCAAUCCCGAAGAUGAUGGAAAAAAUACCCCUUGGUGCAUUGCAGAGAUGCUACAAAUCACCAAGCAAGCCAUGGGAUUGGCUGUACCUUUAAUUGAGAAAAAAAACUUGAGAAGAAGAGCAAUAAAACUCACGAGGACAUCAUUGGUAUCAGAUCUCAAAACCACGGCUCUUUGGUUGAGGGAAACAAUUUUUUAAUGAGUAAAUGUUCAUCUCCAAACCAAAAAGUGAAGUAGACCGUAUUCCCCAAUGUAAAUAUUGGCAACCUAAGAAAGCUAGGAAAUUUUACAAGACUUGAAACGAAAGUUAACUUC
rnacentral:lncRNA from 1 species